GAUGAACGCUGGCGGCGUGCCUAAUACAUGCAAGUCGAGCGAACAGAUAAGGAGCUUGCUCCUUUGACGUUAGCGGCGGACGGGUGAGUAACACGUGGGUAACCUACCUAUAAGACUGGAAUAACUCCGGGAAACCGGGGCUAAUGCCGGAUAAUAUUUAGAACCGCAUGGUUCUAAAGUGAAAGAUGGUUUUGCUAUCACUUAUAGAUGGACCCGCGCCGUAUUAGCUAGUUGGUGGGGUAAUGGCUUACCAAGGCAACGAUACGUAGCCGACCUGAGAGGGUGAUCGGCCACACUGGAACUGAGACACGGUCCAGGCUCCUACGGGAGGCAGCAGUAGGGAAUCUUCCGCAAUGGGCGAAAGCCUGACGGAGCAACGCCGCGUGAGUGAUGAAGGUCUUCGGAUCGUAAAACUCUGUUAUUAGGGAAGAACAAAUGUGUAAGUAACUGUGCACGUCUUGACGGUACCUAAUCAGAAAGCCACGGCUAACUACGUGCCAGCA
rnacentral:rRNA from 1 species